AGAGUUUGAUCCUGGCUCAGGAUGAACGCUGGCGGCGUGCUUAACACAUGCAAGUCGAACGAUGAUCCCAGCUUGCUGGGGGAUUAGUGGCGAACGGGUGAGUAACACGUGAGUAACCUGCCCUUAACUCUGGGAUAAGCCUGGGAAACUGGGUCUAAUACCGGAUAUGACUCCUCAUCGCAUGGUGGGGGGUGGAAAGCUUUAUUGUGGUUUUGGAUGGACUCGCGGCCUAUCAGCUUGUUGGUGAGGUAAUGGCUCACCAAGGCGACGACGGGUAGCCGGCCUGAGAGGGUGACCGGCCACACUGGGACUGAGACACGGCCCAGACUCCUACGGGAGGCAGCAGUGGGGAAUAUUGCACAAUGGGCGAAAGCCUGAUGCAGCGACGCCGCGUGAGGGAUGACGGCCUUCGGGUUGUAAACCUCUUUCAGUAGGGAAGAAGCGAAAGUGACGGUACCUGCAGAAGAAGCGCCGGCUAACUACGUGCCAGCAGCCGCGGUAAUACGUAGGGCGCAAGCGUUAUCCGGAAUUAUUGGGCGUAAAGAGCUCGUAGGCGGUUUGUCGCGUCUGCCGUGAAAGUCCGGGGCUCAACUCCGGAUCUGCGGUGGGUACGGGCAGACUAGAGUGAUGUAGGGGAGACUGGAAUUCCUGGUGUAGCGGUGAAAUGCGCAGAUAUCAGGAGGAACACCGAUGGCGAAGGCAGGUCUCUGGGCAUUAACUGACGCUGAGGAGCGAAAGCUAGGGGAGCGAACAGGAUUAGAUACCCCCGUAGUCC
rnacentral:rRNA from 1 species